GCAGUGAUGGUUCAUUGGUAGAAUUCUUGCCUUCCAUGCAGGAGACAAGGGUUCAAUUUCUGGCCAAUGCA
rfam:Loxodonta africana unplaced genomic scaffold scaffold_6, whole genome shotgun sequence.